ensembl:lncRNA
AUUAAGCUAACGAUCAUAUUUACUUUAGUAAACUCUUAAAAAAAAAACCUAAUUCAAAGUUUGUUUCUGACCAACUACCUCCUUAAUCCCAUAGCACCUGCCAGAAGACAUCCAAUAACCCACUCUUUAGGUCAGAGAAAAACAUACAAAAGAGAAAGCCUUGGCUGGAAUGACUCAUGUUACAAGCCAGCUGCUUUCCAGAAUCCGUUAAGCUGUAGGGUCCAGAUCUCCUUUUGUGGCUUUCUACAGACUUUAUUUGAACAGAGAAAUUACAACAACCCUGCCCACAUAAAAGCCGAGGAAAGAAACUAGUUGGGGGAGAGAGAGUGCCCAAAUUUUUUACUAUACUUUGAAACAAAAUGGCAAGGGUGUUAGCAAGCAUUCUCUUUGCUUUGCAUUAAUAAAUGUUCCUCUGCUUUUGCUCACAAUUGAGAUGAUGAAACUUGGACAUGAUAGAUUCCAUUUGAUAAUCAGUAGAAAUGCUUUUCCUGAGUCAGUUGACUGUCAAGGGCCCUGAAACCUCAUCUGGCAUUUUUGGUUAAUGCAGUUUGACCAUCUAUCUUCCUUGGCUUCCUUUGACCAAUGCCAAGUUGUUAUGAGUUCUUUUCUGUUUCAAUCCAUUGAGGGAUCUACUUAACCCAACACAUGAACAUUUUUUUGACCAGUGAGAAGCAGUAUGAUGAAUCAAUCAUCUAUUGAUUCCUUUAACAAAUUUUAUUGACCAUCACUUUCUACCUCUCUACCAGGAAGUAUUCCAGAGAUUGAGAGUGGAAAGAAAUCCAAGAUAAAUCAGAUAAAGACAUUCUCAUAAACAAAGCCUGUGCCUUUCUGUGACAAGUAUAGUAGGAAUGCACAAAAUACCUGAAUUGUGAGCGUUUGGGGCCUCUGCUUAUUUAAACAUUAACAUGGGAAAGAUGAUGAAAAGGAGAUGAAUGAGUAGAUUAAAUUUCUAGCAGUGGUUAUCAGCAUCCCCAAAUCUAUGGUAUUGAGUAUUUUUGCCUAAAACUGUUUUCUUAAAGUUUAUGGAGUCAUAAUGCCUUACUAUUGGCCUAAAUGUAGGGAGAAAAAAAGACUUGAAACCAGAACAUGCAAUAUGAUUUUCAUAUGCCCCAAAGCCAGAGUUGAAACAGAUUCCAACUUAAUAUCACCAAGCAAUAUUCAGGCUAUCCCAGACAAUUCUAACAUAGAAUCUCAUUCUUGACAUCAUCUCUUAAUGAAACUCUGUGAACACUCAUGAGAGAUUUCAUCUAGAAUAUUUAUCUGAGAGUGUGGUUUGGCUAACACAGCUUUAGCAUGCUGCUCCUUACGUAUGGGAGCAGCACACGCUCAUAUGCUCAUUUUUUGCAUGUGAGGAAAAUGAAACAUGGGAAUGUUAAACUAAUUUGGCCAUGGUUCACAUUUAGUUAGUGUCAAAUUUUUAAUCCAAUUUGGAAAAUAAGAACCUAGGGAAAGCCAUUCUUGAAGCAUUUAGCUUCUACUUUCUUUUUUAUUUAUUUUAUUUUUUAAAUUAAAGUUUGCUAAUUUACAGUGUUCCUUCCUGUUGCACAGCAAAGUGACCCAAUUACACACAGUUCCCUGUGCUGUACAGUAGGAUGCCAGUGCCCAUUGAUUCCAAAUGUAAUAGUUUGCAUCCACCAACCCCAAACUCCUCAUCCAUCCUACUCCUACCCCCUCCCCUUGCCAACCACAAGUCUGCUCUCCUUGGCUGUGAUCUGUUUCUAUUUUAUAGAUAGGAUCAUUUGUCCUAUAUUUUAGAUUAUUUGUGGGACAAAUGAUCCUAACUAGCUUCCAGGUUUUUUUACUCAGUAAGCUUCAUUCCGUCUAAGUCAGAAGAGCAGUGUGUUUCUGCUGUCGAUGUAGGCUGGAAGCAGAGUUGAGCAGAACCAGCUCUAAUCAGCCCAGGUGGCACUGCAUUUAGUGGAGAGUGUCCAUUGCCCUCCAGCUUGUCUAGACCAAUGGAAGGAUUGGUCUCCCUAAUUUUUUAGUAUUCAGGUCUCUUGUAUGCUGGCAUGUAAAUAUAUCACUUUCCAGGCAUGUAUUAAUACAAUGAAAUGUAAUUAAUGCUAACAUUGCAUUGAUCAGGACAUCAUUUUCCUUGAAGAAUCAGCCCAAGCUUCAUGGUCUUGCACCCCAAAAUCUUAUCACAGUGGUGAACAACACACAGUUGAUUUAUGCAAAAGUGUCACUUCUUCCCUGUGGAUUGACUGCUGGAUGGCAGUGAAGACACUGAGACAGUUUUAUUUCAGUCAUCAGCAUCACAACAAUUUCACAGGGCCAGUCUGGGUUUUUCAAAACAAGUGACCCAGGAGAGAAAUUUACCUUUACAUCGACUUUCACCAACAACUGUUUGUGAGACUUCAAGAAUAAAAUGCAUCAUGGAAAUAAAACGCAUCAUCUACCUAGAGGAGUUGGUCCAGAGUUAAAAGAUGCAGUAGGAUUUCCCUUCUGGUGGAUCGUAUUUCCCUUUGACGCGGUUCUAAAUUCUUUGGGGCCAACAGGGAGACCACCGAUAAUUGCCUGUAAUUCAACACACACACGACCAGCUCUCCAGAAAGCCAAGCAUCAGCUUCUCUAUUACAGUUAGGGGCCUCACAUUUGGGUUUGGUCUUUUCUUUUUCCCCUUGGAUCCAUGGCUCUUUUCAUGCAAGGUCCUGUUUGACAUCCUAAUAUAAGUGUAAUUUCAUCUUUCUCCAGAAACCUUCAUUUUCACGGCCUCUAAUGACCAUUCCAUAAUCAGUGUGGUUAGAGGAACUGAAUUCACCUCUAGGCACCUGUCAUGUUUGUAAUGAAGGAAGAGAAAGUGUAAGUGUUGGAAUAAAUGCUUUUUGAAGCACACCCUAGGCUCACUACUUUUGAAGUUUGAUCUCGAUAGUAAAUAUUCUUGGAGUGCACAUUCAACACAUAUUCUGACAUAGCAAAAUUAGAAAAUCUGCUUAGAAAGAGGUGCACAACCUAAUUUUUCCCCUUUUUAUCUUAAAUGCCUCUUCAGUCUGGCCCUUCCUCAUCUGUUCUCAAGGAAUUCUGCCAGGGCAUAGCUGAGAUAAAUCUGGCUGGAGAUCCCUCCAAAGAUUAUGCUAAACUCACCUUUGUCAUUGAUUCAGCUCAUCCUCAUGCACUGAGCAUCUUUCAAAGGACUGUUGGAAAUUGGGGCUCAUUGUCAUGGGAAGGGAAAGUCAGAAGAUGAAUAACUUAAAUAUUAAAGAAGUCUACCUCUAGUUGGGAAAGGAAAAAUCCACAUAUAUGAUGCUUUCAUGGGACCACUGUGAAUGCGCUAUUAUGGCGCCAUGAGGAAUUAGGAGGUAGAUCAGUUCUAUGGCUGGGAAAACUUUUGGCAAAUGUGGAUUUUUAACUUCACCCUUGAGUUCCAUAGAACUCCCCAAAGCAGAGGAGGCAGUGAAGAUGACUUUGACAACAAGAAGCAGCACAACUUAAAGACUUAGAAGUGAAAGGUACCGGGCAAGUUCAUGUAAAAGAACGUGAUCUAGUGGUGGUGGGGGCAGGGUAAGAGGGAGGAGCAGGGAGAAUAACAGGGAACCAAGCUGGAGCCAUAAAAUGGGGUUGGGCUCUCAGGGCUUUGAAUGUUGGAACGAAGAGCUUGGACACAAUGAAAGGCCAAGAACCUUUUUUAAGUUGAGGUCUGAAAUAGUUCUGGAUUGUAGCAAGACCUUGCCGACGUUGCUUGGAGAAUGUUCAGGAAGGGUUAGAGGAUCCGUUUGAAUGAUGUUGAAACAACAUCAUUAUAUUAUUAUAUUUGUAUCUAUAUUAAUAUGCAUUGUUAAAGAAGAAAAAUGCCUGAGCAGGGAGGUCCCUUCGUGACUCAGCGGUUAACAAACCUGACUAGGAUCCAUGAGGAUGCGAGUUCAAUCCCUGACCUCACUCUGUGGGUUAAGGAUCCGAUGUUGCCAUGAGCUGUGGUAUAGGUCGCAAACGCAGCAGCUUGAUCCUGAGUUGCUGUGGCUGUGAUGUAGGCUGGCAGCUGUAGCUCUGAUUUGACCCUGAGCCUGGGAACCUCCAUAUGCUGUGGGUGUGGCCCUAAAAAGCGGAAAAAAAAAAAAUGCCUGAACGAGGAUGGUGGUAGUAAUAAUCGAGAAAAGGUGUGACAGGAGUCCCGUCGUGGCUCAGUGGUUAGCGAAUCCGACUAGGAACCAUGAGGUUGGGGGUUUGAUCCCUGGCCUUGCUCAGUGGGUUAAGGAUCCGGCGUUGCCAUGAGCUGUGAUGUAGAUCACAGACGUGUCUCGGAUCCCAUGUUGUUGUGGCUCUGGCGUAGGCCGGUGGCUAUAGCUCCAAUUUGACCCCUAGCCUGGGAAGCUCCAU